rnacentral:tRNA from 1 species
GUGGCUGUAGCUCAGUGGAAGAGCGCCCGGUCGUGGCCCGGGAGGUCGCGGGGUCAGAACCCGCCAGCCACCCCA